rnacentral:rRNA from 1 species
UACAGAGACUGCAAGCGUUAUUCGGAUUCACUGGGCGUAAAGGGUGCGUAGGCGGUGGAGUAAGUCGGCUGUGAAAUACCAUAGCUUAACUAUGGAACUGCACUCGAUACUACUUUGCUAGAGUAAGACAGAGGUGAGUGGAACUGAGGGUGGAGCGGUGAAAUGCGUUGAUAUCCUCAGGAACACCGGUGGCGAAGGCGACUCACUGGGUCUUUACUGACGCUGAUGCACGAAAGCUAGGGUAGCAAACGGG